rnacentral:tRNA from 1 species
GCUUUCGUAGUGCAACGGUUAGCGCAUUCGGAGUAUAUUCGAAAGGUCCAGGUUCGACUCCCGGCGAGGGCA